UAACACGUGGGUAACCUGCCUGUAAGACUGGCAUAACUCCGGGAAACCGGGGCUAAUACCGGAUGGUUGUUUGAACCGCAUGGUUCAGACAUAAAAGGUGGCUUCGGCUACCACUUACAGAUGGACCCGCGGCGCAUUAGCUAGUUGGUGAGGUAACGGCUCACCAAGGCAACGAUGCGUAGCCGACCUGAGAGGGUGAUCGGCCACACUGGGACUGAGACACGGCCCAGACUCCUACGGGAGGCAGCAGUAGGGAAUCUUCCGCAAUGGACGAAAGUCUGACGGAGCAACGCCGCGUGAGUGAUGAAGGUUUUCGGAUCGUAAAGCUCUGUUGUUAGGGAAGAACAAGUGCCGUUCAAAUAGGGCGGCACCUUGACGGUACCUAACCAGAAAGCCACGGCUAACUACGUGCCAGCAGCCGCGGUAAUACGUAGGUGGCAAGCGUUGUCCGGAAUUAUUGGGCGUAAAGGGCUCGCAGGCGGUUUCUUAAGUCUGAUGUGAAAGCCCCCGGCUCAACCGGGGAGGGUCAUUGGAAACUGGGGAACUUGAGUGCAGAAGAGGAGAGUGGAAUUCCACGUGUAGCGGUGAAAUGCGUAGAGAUGUGGAGGAACACCAGUGGCGAAGGCGACUCUCUGGUCUGUAACUGACGCUGAGAGCGAAAGCGUGGGGAGCGAACAAGAUUAGAUACCCUGGUAGUCCACGCCGUAAACGAUGAGUGCUAAGUGUUAGGGGGGUUCUCCCCCCUUAGUGCUGCACUAAACGCAUUAACCACUCC
rnacentral:rRNA from 1 species